UACAAGAACACCAGCUUUCCUGCCAGUCCUCGCCAGAUUGUUCUGCCUACCAGUUGUGCCAGCCUCCCAUCGAGCCAUCCUCACGCCGCCGCAGCUCAUUCCUCCAGCUACUCCACCCUGCUCAACAGCCUGCCUGUCCCCUGCCUUCUCCAGCGCCCUCACCACCUUUAUUAUAAUAAAUCCACCUGACUUUCAACCACCAUC